rnacentral:hammerhead_ribozyme from 1 species
GUCCAGCUGAUGAGUCCCAAAUGGGGCGAAACGCUUCCUGGAU